AGAAGGGCAAGUUUCGGGCACUGGCCAUCGGCGAUGAUAGAGAGAGAGCUAAGGAGCUCGAGAAGGAGAUUGAAUUGGAGGCUCACCAGAAGCGUGGGGACAGAGAGGUAGAAGAUGAUCGAUACAGGGUGAGGGCAGGGGACAGAGGAAGAGAUAGAGAUAGAGGUAGGGAUAGGGAUAGGGAUAGAAGAGACGGAGAUAGAGACAG
rnacentral:misc_RNA from 1 species